GGUACGAAUCACAAGUUCAGGUGCCCAAGGCCACCCUCAGUUUGUUGAUUCUGGAAGGACUCCCAGAACUCCUUGAAAGCUAAUACACUCACAGUUGUGGUUUCUGUAUUAGUCCAUUCUUGAAUUGCUGUGAAGAAAUACCUGAGACUGGGUAAUUUAUGAAGAAAAGAGGUGUAAUUGGCUCCUGGGUCCACAGGCUGUACAGGGGCAUGGUGGCACCUGCUCGGCUGCUGGGGAGGCCUCAGGAAGCCUCCAGUCGUGGCAGAAGCCAGAGGGGGAGCCAGCCUGCCUGGGUGGGAACAACAUCUUCAUAAAUCAGUUCCUUACCGGGAAAGGAUACAGAUUAAGAUUGGCCGAAGGAGGGGAGGCAGGGGGCCGAGUCCAGGAAAAGUGCCCCAAGCAGAGCUCUUGCUGUCCCUUUCCUGCGGGACUGGGACUUGUGACUCUCCUGCAUCAGUGUGGUAGCACGAGCGAGGGCCAGCCUCAAGCCACAGUGUCCAGGUUCUCACUGGGGCUCCAUUACACGGGCAUGGCUGAUUGAGUGACCACCCAAGUGGUCAGUCCCCGUCCUUCGGCCGAUUGCCACCGCGUGGUCCCCAUCUCCCACCCUCCAUGACACCGUUGGUCUUUCUGGCAUGGCCACCCCCACCCUGAGACCAUCAUGGUGGCUCUCCUCCACCCUAAGUCACAUCACUGGACUCUCCCAUGUGACCCAAGGCCCUGGGCGAACAAUGACUCCUAUCAGGCAGGACAUCGUGGAGGUCACCUCCCAGUGGCUGAGGAUAAAGGUCAGGCCUCUUUGGGGCAGGAUUCAAUUCUUACCGCAGACCUUCCUCCCCCCACACACAAGUGAGCUACGGAGAAAAGGGAAUAGAAUAUCUCUCUGGUGGGUCUGGAAUGCCCGUUUUUGGAGGCUGGUUGGAACUUUCUUAUCUCCUUUUAUUUCUGAUUUCUGUUGAAAUCCCCGGAACUAAUGCCUAUUGUAUGAACCUGAUUACAAAGAGAGAGAUUUUACAGAGCAUUUUUCCUCUCAGGAAAAAGGAGGCACCCUGCUUUUUUCUCAGUGAGAGAGAAAUGUUCUUUGAAUAAUUUUUUAAUUUAUUAAAAAAUUUUUGAUCCUACUGCUAAGGGGAUGCAACCUUCCUGCAGAGAGGCAUGCAGAUAACGUUGUCUUAAUAUUUGCAUUUCUGCAGAGCAUGGGCUGUUGCAGCCCCGGGGGUGUGUACCGUGGUGAUUUGUAAAGUGACUUCUACCCUGUCACUGGGGUGAGGAAAAUGGGUCCCCAGGCUGUGAAGGGCCCAUCCCUCCCCACGGCCAUGGGAACCGGACUGAGGUUCCUUACUUGGCUGGACACAGUUUGACCCAGACUCUUCUCCAAACCAGAGGCCAGCCUUCCCACUUAGUAAAAAAUUCGUUAUCCUUCCCCUAGAUGUUGUUAUUAAUUUCUUCCUGGGGUUUUAAAGAAGUCAGUGCAUUUUACGGCCAGUGGAGUGUUGAUGGUUCGGUGCACAUAGCACCUGUGUCUGUGAGUGGAGUGUUGAUGGUUCGGUGCACAUAGCACCUGCGUCUGAGGUGAUCAGCACCCUCGGGGCAGAGCGUUGCAUCCAAACGGGGAUUUUCGGCAUGAUGUUCCCAGUGGGGCUUUUCCUAGCAAUGGCUUUUUAAACUCUGUUGUGAGGAAGCCCAGCAUCAGCGACAUCCAACUCCCUGGAACGGCAGGGCUGCCACUGAGCUUGUGUGGUCCAGGCCUGGAGUGUCCAAUUCUCUCUCAAGCUGGGCACUGGGUCCCCGAGAGUCUCCCAAGGAUGAUGGAGAAGCAGGAUGCGCGGGCUCAGAAGCAAUGCGGCACCCCAGCCCUGCAUGCCCAGCCACCCCAACUUCUAGGCAGCUGCAGGCUCCCACCUGCGCAGAGAAUAGGCUGUUCACCUGCAACGGCGGCUGGCGCCUGGGGAGGCGGGCGUUCUGGGAGAGGAGGAGCCCCUGGCUGCGUGGCUGUGCCAUGGGUGGUGUCAUGGACCUGCUGGUGGCCGAGCCCCUCUGAGGGCUGCGUGUUUUGAGGGGACCCUGGCUUGGGCCUGGCAUGGACCCUCUUGCGCAGAUCAUCUCGUGAUUCUCCUGGCAACCCUGUGAGACGGACGGGUUCUUUCAUUGCCCACUGUUGGCACCUGGGGAGAUGGAGGAGCACAGAGGGGACACACCUUGCUCAGGAUCACACAGCAAGGAGGUGGCAAGGUCGAGUUGGACCUGGACUCCCCACCUUCACGGCCAUGUGGGUCUCUGCAGGGCACCCUUCCUGGAGGAGGACCGGUGCAGACCCCUGUUGAGUAGGGGACGGCCACCUGGAGAGCCACCCUUGGCCGCUUUAGGUAGGUGCCAGCGCAGGUGUCUGCAGUCCCGACGCCAGGGGGCAGGAUGAGACAGGGGAACGAAGUCGGUGCAGCAGGCGUGGCGGCCUCGCCGGUCUUUUCCUGGGACGCUCUCAGGAUGGCUCUCAGAGGGUGCCCGGGCAGCAGGCAGGGCUCAGAAUGCGGCUCCGUUGCUCACUAACGGCCUUCAGAGUCUUCUGAGCAGUCCAGGAUGGGGGCAGCAGCUGCCUCUGUAGAGAAUGUGAAUCUUUCGCUUCUCAGGUAUCCAACACCUUGGCAAGCACCAGGAAGUGAAAUCACUGAAUUAAGAAUGUGUUUGUGAGAAGCGGCAGCUGCUUCCUGCUGGGGCUCAGGGAGGGAGUUGCGGGCUGGGCCGGGGUCCGCUGAGCUCCGUGUCCACUGCUGUCUGGUCUGGAAACAGCAUGAAUCCCGGUGACCGCCGCUCCCUCCCAGGCUGUCCCGGCAGGUUCUGAGCUAGUGAGGGGAUUUCAGGGUGGUGGGUGCUGUGCUGAGGCUUUGCUCCCCCCCUGGGUUGAGUGUCUGCGGCCGCCCCCCGCAUCCCCUGCUUUGCUAGUCUUUUCCUUCACGCAGCCUUUGCUGCCCAGGGGGACCCACCCCGGCUGUUCUCGGGAGCCCAGCCCCUCUGCAGAGUUCUUUAGGCUGCUCCUACCCAGAGGGACCUUCCCAGCAGGUGGGCCUAGCUUCAGAUCUCCAAGUCUGUGGUGGCCUCCACCCACUGAGACCCAGGAGGCCCAGCGGGACUUGGGGUUCAGGCCAAGGUUCGUCUGGCUGCCUCCUUCCUCCUUCCAGGCACGUUGUCUAGAAAUCACCUCAUCUUUUACAGGUCACCAGUUAACCGUGUUGGAGGAAGCUCUGGGAUGUACGGGUCUGAAUGGCCCACAACAGUUCAGGCCCUGGACUGAGCCUGGAACCCGCCCCCAGGGCUGGGUCCUGGCCUCGCCCAUCUGUCUCCCUUGAGGGGAGGGCUGGGUUCUUCUCUUGGCCUCAGUUCCCUCCCGUUUGCCAUUCCAAAUACUUUUUAUUCCCACCUCCUUCCCCCAGCAUCUCCUUUCUCUUCCUUUGUCUCCAGCCUUGUCUGUUGCUUUGCUUCUGGGCCUUGGCAUCUGGGCGUGAACCCACCGCCUCCAGCCAGUGGGAAGAGUGGGCGCCACUGGCCGGGUUCAUCUUGCUGUGGCGGCGUGUUUGGGGGACCUGGGGAGGGACUGAUGGGUCCCCAGCGUUUCUGAGGAUGUGUGCCUUGGAGCGCUCCCAAGAGGCCAGUCUUCGUUCAACGUGGGUGGUCCCCACAAAUGCUGGGGAUGGGGGGUUUCCAGCCGCCCUCUGGGCAUGAACUUUGGGCCUUUAUCCCAAGUCUUCGGGGCGAGGAAGGGGAGUGGGAAUUAAACUGGUGCCGGCCGUUAGGUCCACCCAGCAGAUCUACCCGGCAGGCACAGCACCGCGGUCCGGAGAGCGCCAGUGCCUGUCACCAGGAGCAGAGUGAACCCCUCGUGGGUGCCAGCUCCUCCUGCCCCUCCUGAGCCUGACGGGGCUACGGUUUUCAGCGGCUGCGACGCCACAGGACCUGUGAGGAGAGACUGCACCCUGAAGGUCUGGCGGCGAGUGGAUCCUAAACAAAGUGAGGCCUAGGAGCGCCGUCCUGAAGGCCCUGCUCUCCCCAGGGCCAGCUGCUGGCCAUGGGGUCAGACAGGUCACUGGGUCCUCAUAGCCAGCGCAAACACAGAUCCAGGCGUGGUUGUCCCGUGUCCAGGGAGCUGCUACCUUGUGCUGCUGGGACCUGGCAUCGAGUGGGUACAGCCAAGCCCACAGGAAUGGAGCCGUGGCUUCCAGGGUUGUGCAACCCUGGCCUGCCCUGGGCUGGCUGAGGGGCCCACCACCCUGGGCUGGCACUUGGGCUCCCCUCAAGCAGACCGCCUGUCUGCAGCCUCAUCUCCUGAGAGCGGAGCCUCAGCCAGCCUAGGUGCAGGUCAUCCUCACACGUGGCCACACCAAGGCCACCUCACAAUCACAGCCAUGCCACAUGCUGAGCCCCUGAGAUGUGCGGGCCACAGGCCAGCUGGCUGCUUCUGUUGUGUUUCUGCUGGAGCUGCAUGAGGCUGAAGGAGAGGCCCGGGCAGAGAGAGGCUGAGCCUCUUGCUCUUGGAGGCAGACGUGGGUUUCGGUGCUGCCCCCCUCUGACACCCUGGUCGACAUUUCUGUUCCUGCCUCAGGCCUCCUCCUUGAACCUGCCUCUGACCUCACCAGGAGUGGGUUUGUCUGGCGACCAGACCCUGGUGGCCUUCUGCUGAAGCCUCUGCAAUCGUUCCGCACUGGGGGCUCGGUGACUGCAGGAGGACCCUGCUCUGUGGGAAGCAGCCUGGGGGCUACAGGAGGCAGUGAGAGGGUCACCCCAUCUCUCUGGAGUUUGACACAAUCUCCCAUCUGGCCUCAACUGUACUGACCCCUGACCUCUGACCUUCAAGCCCCCAGGCCCAGUCGAACUGGUACCUUGAAAGGACACGGCCUGUUGGUGUCUGGGUGAGGCUGCUGGGUCGGUGUGGAUGGAGGGUGGCUGGAUGUGCUUUCUGGCGGUCCUCUGGACACAGGGGGUGCUGUAAUCCCCUCCCCUUCCUGGAGACCUGGUGGGGACGCCUCCUCCCAGGGACCCCAGGCAGGCCAAGCCCAGGUCCACAGGUCGCCCUCUGUCUUCCAAGCAUUUGAAAGACACUGACAAACGAUAAUACUUUUUUUUUCAUUUAGGGAAAGGCCUGAAAGUAAAAUUGUAUCAACAUUAGGUUUGGCUAAUGUUGCCAUUAGGCAAACCUAAUGUUAAUGAAGCCAGGAGGUUCUCGUUUUGGGCCUUGACUGGACAGGUUUGGGCUAGAAACCACUUGAAGUAUUGAUCAUCCAUCUGAUCAUCAAGUUUUUUUUUUUUUUUUUUUUUUUUGAGUUGGAGUCUCACUCUGUUGCUCACGCUGGAGUGCAGUGGCACGAUCUCAGCUCCCUGCAACCUCCACCUCCCGGGUUCUCCUGCCUCAGCCUUCUAAGUAGCUGGGAUUAUAAGUGUGUGCCACCAUGCCUGGCUAAUUUUUUAUAUUUUCGGUUGAGAUGGGGUUUCACCGUGUGGCCAGGCUGGUCUCAAACUCCUGACCUCAAGUGAUCCGCCUGCCUCGGCCUCCCAAAGUGCUGGGAUUACAGGCGUGAGCCGCCACUCCCAGCUUGUUCAUCAAGUUUUUAUUGAAUGUCUAUUAUGUGCCGAUAUUGAGGUAGACUCUGGGAGUCACAGCGGUGAAUGCAGCUGCCUGGAUGCCUCGUGAGGGCUGGAGUCUCACUGGGGAGAUGGACAUGAACAGCAAACGCACAGCGAGGAAAGCCAGGGGUCCGUGCGGGGAUGCUGCAGGACACGAGAACCAGCCAAGACCUAUGGCCCCUGCAGCCACCGAGGGCUCGAGAGCGCCCCUGUGGACUUGGCUGGGCCCUUCAUGGUGACAUCCAGGAAUGCGGCUGAGCGUGGGUGUUGACCUCGCUGUUUGCUGGAAUGUUUGGGUUCUUGGACCAUGUCAGUGACUUCUGUGUCACCAUGGCCUCGCUAUCCCCAGGAAAACCUAACGUGCACCCUGCGCCUGUCCUCUGGGACUCCCGUCCUCCUCCUUUGUCUGACCCCUGAGAGGCUUACCGUUUCCCCAGGGCAGCCCCGGCUGUGGCCCUCGGCUCUGCUCCAGGCGGCCAUGUCAGUGUCCUCCCUUGGCGCUCCCAACACCCUACCUGGCUCUGCGAUGGCCACCCUGGACUCCUAAACACCCCAGAAAGGGAAGAGAUUUAAGAGGAACCUUGACUCCUGCCAUUCUGCGCAGUCGUGGGUCCCUCCUCCACCCGGGGCCCUCAAGGGGAUUUCUGUCCACACCCCCAGCCAGCGACCCCUCCCAGUUCCUGCAGCUGGAGCGGCCCUCUCUCCUGAACAUUCGGGCACCUGCGUCUGUCACCGCAGCCAGAGGGCUGGAGCGUCUUCGGUCAACUCGCCAUCCCUGCCACGGCUGGAGGCUACGUGUCCCAGAACCUACCUUGCUGGGAUGAGGGUUGGGGUGGCAGAGGCUGAACGCAUGUGUGAGGUUUGGGGGAGGACAAGCAGAGCGGGGAUGUGUGGGAGGUUCUGGUGUCCACCGUGAGGACGGUCACACCCCAUAGCUUUGUUGAUGUUGUGGCUGUAGCAGGCCCAGUGGCUCCGCUGAGCCUCCCUAGCACCAGUGCCCAGUGAAGUGUGGGGGGCUGGACAUAGGUGGCCUCAGUUCCUGGGACUCCCCCAAAGCUCUGGUUUCCCCCCUGCUCCCAGGCUUCAGGUGGACGAGUUAGUGACCACCCCCACUCCAGACCUCCCUCCCCCAGCCACCCCCACAGUUGUAAAAACCUUCAUUCUCAUAUGGAACCCCCUUUCCUGAAAUCCGUAGUGACUAACUGCUUUCUUGAGUGAAUCUGGACUGGGCCACAUGAUGAUCGCUGCACAGAGCAGCUCAGCUCCUCAGUCUCAGCCUCCCUGACUUCACAGCAGGCUCUGGGCAUCAUCUCCAUGUCAUCCUAAGGCCACGGGCGGGGUUCCCACCAAACAGGAGAGCAGCUCUCCCGAGAUGAAGCCUUCUGAUAGCCCUAGAACCAAGAGGAACCGUGUGGGGUUGGGUGGGGUGUUUACUGUGCACUCCUGAUGUUCCCUCCCAGUGAAGGACACCCACGUGGGACACUGUGGCCCCUGGCCCUCCCUCCCUCCCCUCAGUGGCAGAGAGAACUUCCUGGUGGGUGACAGCCCAUGGUCCACCCUUGCCAGGUGGAUUCAGGCAAAAUACUCCAGGCUGUGUGCUGAAGGCAUCCCAUCUCUUCCUCGUCCCCUCUCGGCUGGAUCGGGGUGGGGCAGCGGGUGGUGAGUGUGUCUGUCCUGCCAGUUCAGCCUCCAACUGGUCUGCUGUGGGGCAGGAGCCCACCUGGCUCUCCUGCAGAGCUGCAUGGCCUGCCUUGCCUCACCCGUGACAACAGAGACUUUGGUUCUCCAUCUGCAGACGCAUGUGUCUUGUUUCUUAUUCGGUCCAGAACUCGGGUGGGAAGAAGGGUGAUGUUAUUUGGGUCCCCUCAAGACCUUGACAACAGAUAGUUUUUAAAAUCGCAUUUUAAAGCCGCCAACUUUCUCUCCUCCACUUUGGUAUUUCCCUGAUUUUUAAACAGAAUGUCGGCUCUGGAGGCAGAAAGCUUGGGCUUGGAUCUGGGCCCUGCCACGCAGUAGCUAUGUGGCCAGGGAAUGCAUAGCUUCCGGAUCUCCGAUCCCUACAGUAAAGUACAGAUAAAAAUACUUUUCAUGGAUGUGUUUGAAAUCGAAUGAGGUAGUUAAUGAAUGAGUAAGCGCUCUGCGAACUCCAGAGCGGGGUGCGCGUUCUGAUCUGUUUCAUAGAAUCUGACACGUGCCCUUUCCCACCCCAGCGUCUCUGAAUUGGGAUGCAUCUGACAGCAAGUGUGGCAUCCGGGCUGCAGUUGCCGUUGUCUGCUCACAUGUGAAUUAAAAAAACAGUCUCAGCAUAUGAAAUCUCUAAUUGCGUAUGAACUUGGUGGUUAUUCCUGGUGCCGUGUGGAUGACUGCAGCCUCAACACCCCAGUCCACAAACCACGUACGGACCAACUGAGGAAGGAGUAGGGGUUCUUGUUGUUGCAGAAAACCCUCCCUCAACUUGUUCUAGAAGAUACCAGCAUUCACACUUGGAGUGGGCAUCAGCAGCUUGGAAGACACAGCAGUGGGCCCCUCUUAGCAGGAGCGCCCUGUCUCAUGGCUCCCGAUGACGACCCAGAGGGUGAUGCUGCAUGGGGGCUCACAAACAUCGGCACUGUGAGUCAGGGGUGCUCAGGUGAAGGGGGCUCUGAUGGUGAGGACAUUCAGAAAUAACAGAGAUUGGCUGGGUGUGGUGGCUCACACCUGUAAUCCCAGCACUUCGGGAGGGAAGCUGAGGUGGGUGGAUCACUGGAGGUCAGCCUGGCCAACAUGGUGAAACCCCGUCUCUACUAAAAAUACAAAAAUUAGCUGGGCGUGGUGGCACGUGUCUGUAAUCCCAGUUACUCGGGAGGCUGAGGCAGGAGAAUUGCUUGAACCCAGGAGGCGGAGGUUGCAGUGAGCCGAGAGUGCGCCACUGCACUCCAGUCUGGGCAACAGAGCGAGACUCUUUGUCUCAAAAAAGAAAAAAAAAAAUAACAGAGACUUAUUUUACUUAUGUUUUCCUCUUUUCUGUGUGUAUAAUGAGAGAAAUUAGGAUGCCAAAAAAAAGAAAAGAAAAGAAAAGAAAAACCAAGCCCUUCUAAGUCUAUAAAAAUUUUUUAAGUAAUUUUUUUUUUUUAAGAGACAGGGUCUUGCUCUGUAGCCCAGGCUGGGGUGCAGCAGUGCAAUCCCAGCUCACUGCAGCCUUCAGCUCCUGGGCUCAAAUGAUCCUCCCACGUUGGCCUCCCAAAGCAUAACACAUUUUAAAAUAAAAUUGUAGAUAAUAAGAAA